AACGAACGCUGGCGGCAGGCCUAACACAUGCAAGUCGAGCGAAGCCUUCGGGCUUAGCGGCGGACGGGUGAGUAACGCGUGGGAACGUGCCCCUUGGUACGGAAUAGCCCCGGGAAACUGGGAGUAAUACCGUAUGUGGUCGAGAGACGAAAGAUUUAUCGCCAAAGGAUCGGCCCGCGUUGGAUUAGGUAGUUGGUGGGGUAAUGGCCUACCAAGCCGACGAUCCAUAGCUGGUUUGAGAGGAUGAUCAGCCACACUGGGACUGAGACACGGCCCAGACUCCUACGGGAGGCAGCAGUGGGGAAUCUUAGACAAUGGGGGAAACCCUGAUCUAGCCAUGCCGUGUGAUCGAUGAAGGCCUUAGGGUUGUAAAGAUCUUUCAGUGGGGAAGAUAAUGACUGUACCCACAGAAGAAGCCCCGGCUAACUCCGUGCCAGCCGCCGCUGUAA
rnacentral:rRNA from 1 species